rnacentral:rRNA from 1 species
UACGUAGGGGGCAAGCGUUGUCCGGAUUUAUUGGGCGUAAAGAGCGUGUAGGCGGCUCGGUAAGUCCGCUGUGAAAGUCGGGGGCUCAACCCUCGAAUGCCGGUGGAUACUGUCGAGCUAGAGUGCGGAAGAGGCGAGUGGAAUUCCUGGUGUAGCGGUGAAAUGCGCAGAUAUCAGGAGGAACACCGAUUGCGAAGGCAGCUCGCUGGGACGUUACUGACGCUGAGACGCGAAAGCGUGGGGAGCAAACAGG